CGCGACGUACACAACUUAGUUCCUUGGAAACGACUUUCCGUUCCAUUGUCGGCGAACUCGCCUCCGAAUCACGAGUGUAGCGCUGCGACCGGAACCGACGGCGAGCUCGCAACAUGGGCCGGGUCAGCUUCCCGCGGGGAAACAACUUCGAGCCGCACAACUUAACUACUUAACCAGCUAAGCUAGCGAGUGCUCCGAGCUAGCCGCGGCUAAUUUGCUCCGCGCAAAAGGGGAGGGUCGCUGACUGAAGCUCCUCAAACUUACAAAGAACCGUGGGGAGAAAGUGCACGAUGCACAUCUGAACCGGUCCACUGAGGAGAGAUGAUGGUGUAUGCAGAUGAAAGCAGGCGACCAAGCCAACAGGACGGCUGAAGAAGAAGAAGGAUUUCCUUGUGUGUGCGAGAGAGAGAGAGUGAGUGAGAGGGGGAGAGAAAGAAAGGUGUGUGUGUGUGUGUCUAUGGCGGAGUUUCGGGAGAACGGCAGGCUGCCUCGGUUCAAUCUCGAGGAUCCCGCCGUGCAGAAUGACGAGGCGGCAGGCAAGACGCAUUGCGAGGUGUCUGUGUUGAAUGGAGACUGUGGGAUUCCCGACAACAUGGUCGGUUCUGCCGUCGCACCUUGCAGCCAAGGCGUGGUGGACAACAGCAGCAGCAGCAACACCUCGCUCGAAUCGGAUGCCAAAUCUGAAAUACCUCGCAGGAGCAGCAUUAUCAAGGAUGGAUCAAGACAACGUAAAGAAAGAAAGAAGACCGUGUCCUUCAGCAGCAUGCCAACGGAGAAGAAAAUCAGCAGCGCUAGUGACUGCAUCAGUGCCAUGGUGGAUGGGUCUGAGCUGAAGAAAGUGAGGUCCAACUCUCGGAUUUACCACCGCUACUUCCUCCUGGACGCCGACAUGCAGUCUUUCAGGUGGGAGCCAUCCAAGAAAGAAUCGGACAAGGCCAAAAUUGAUGUCAAAUCCAUCAAGGAAGUCAGAACAGGCAAAAACACAGACACUUUCAGAACUAACGGUACUUACGAUCAGAUAUCAGAGGAUUGUGCUUUCUCUAUUAUCUUUGGUGAAAACUACGAAUCCUUGGAUUUGGUCGCAAACACGGCAGAUGUAGCCAACACAUGGAUUACGGGGCUUCGAUAUUUGAUCUCUUACGGGAAGCACACCUUGAACAUGAUCGAGAGUAGUCAGAACAACAUGCGCUCUUCGUGGCUGGGGGAGCUUUUCGAUGAAGCCGACAGCAACAAUAGCAAACAGAUACCGAUAUGUGCUGCGGUGCAGUUGGUCAAAAAACUGAGCCCUGGAUUAAAAAAUGUGAAAGUAGAGCUCAAGUUUAAGGAGCUCCAUAAAGCUAAGGACAAAGUAGGUUCUCGGGUCACGAAGGAGGAGUUCUUGGAGGUCUUUCAUGACCUAUGCACUCGACCUGAAAUUUAUUUUCUCUUCGUUCAGUUCUCCAGCAACAAAGAAUUUUUGGAUACCAAGGAUUUGAUGAUAUUUUUGGAGGCCGAACAGGGCAUGGCUCAGGUCAGUGAAGACACCAGUUUAGAAGUCAUUCAGAAGUUUGAACCUUCUAAAGAAGGCAGACUGAAAGGUUGGCUUUCACUCGAUGGGUUCACAAACUACCUGCUGUCUCCAGAGUGCCACAUAUUUGACCCAGAACACAAAACGGUGUGCCAAGACAUGAGCCAGCCAUUGUCCCACUAUUAUAUUAAUGCGUCACAUAACACCUACCUGAUAGAGGAUCAGUUUCGAGGUCCAUCUGAUGUCACCGGGUAUAUCCGUGCUCUGAAAAUGGGCUGCCGCAGUGUUGAACUUGAUGUCUGGGAUGGUCCUGAUAAUGAGCCUGUCAUUUAUACCGGUCAUACAAUGACCUCGCAGAUAGUUUUUCGCAAUGUUAUUGAUGUCAUUAAUAAGUAUGCCUUUGUGGCAUCAGAGUUUCCUCUGGUGCUCUGUUUAGAAAACCAUUGUUCUCUGAAACAACAAGGGGUGAUGUUCCAGCAUCUCAAAAAGAUCCUUGGAGACAAAAUGAGUCUAGAUUCACCGAAACCAGAGGACUGUUACCUUCCGUCUCCCGCUGACUUAAAGGGGAAGAUUCUUUUGAAGGGUAAGAAGCUCAGCAACAACUGUACUGCCUCGGAAGGUGAGGUGACGGACGAGGACGAAGGGGCGGAGAUGUCUCAAAGAAUGAGCAUAGAGUCUGCAGAACACCUGACUAUUGCGCCCAAAAAAUUUCAGUUGUCAAAGGACCUUUCUGAUUUGGUCACUUUGUGCAAGUCUGUGGAGUUCAAGGACUUUCCCACGUCAUUCCAGAGCCAGAAACACUGGGAGCUCUGCUCUUUCAACGAGGUGUUUGCUAGUCGGUGUGCAAGCGACUUUCCAGGGGACUUUGUUAACUACAACAAAAAGUUUCUAGCACGAGUAUAUCCCAGUCCCAUGAGGAUCGACUCCAGCAACAUGAACCCACAAGACUUUUGGAAGUGUGGUUGCCAAAUUGUAGCAAUGAACUACCAAACUCCUGGAUUGAUGAUGGAUCUAAAUAUCGGCUGGUUCCGCCAGAAUGGGAACUGUGGAUAUGUCCUCCGACCAGCGAUCAUGAGGGAGCAGGUAUCUUAUUUUAGUGCCAAUACUAAAGAUUCAGUGCCUGGCGUUUCUCCACAGCUUUUGCACAUUAAGAUAAUAAGUGGACAAAACUUCCCCAAGCCAAAAGGCUCCGGUGCCAAAGGUGAUGUAGUUGACCCUUACGUGUAUGUGGAAAUACAUGGUAUUCCAGCUGACUGCGCCGAACAAAGGACUAAAACCGUCAACCAGAAUGGGGACAAUCCGCUGUUCGAUGAGAGUUUUGAAUUCCAGAUAAACCUCCCAGAGCUUGCCAUGGUGCGCUUUGUGGUCUUGGAUGACGAUUACAUUGGGGACGAGUUUAUCGGGCAGUACACCAUCCCCUUCGAGUGCCUGCAGCCAGGUUUUCGCCAUGUCCCCCUGCAAUCUUUGACUGGUGAGGUUCUGCCACACACUUUGUUGUUUGUUCACGUGGCCAUCACCAACCGUAGAGGGGGCGGCAAGCCACACAAAAGGGGACUGUCGGUGCGAAAAAGCAAGAAGAACAGAGAGUACGCGAGCAUGAGAGUUUUGCUGAUCAAGGCCGUGGACGACGUCUUCAAAACUGCAAUGCUGCCGCUAAGAGAGGGAACCGAUCUCAGAGAAAACAUGCAGAAUGCCAUAGUUUCUUUCAAAGAACUAUGCGGCCUUUCCGCUGUUGCAAACCUGAAGCAGUGUAUCCUGGCACUCUCCUCUCGACUUACCGGACCUGACAACAGCCCACUCCUGGUGUUCGACCUCAGAGACCAGUAUCCAACCUUGGAACCCCAAGGUUUACUCCCAGAGGUCCUCAAAAAAGUCGUCACAACCUACGACAUGGUGGUCCAGACCAGCAAGACUCUGCUGGAGAGCUCAGAGAUGGUUUACGAGAAGAUUCUACAGACGCAAAGAGCCGCUAUGGAAUUCCAUGAGAACCUCCACGACUUGGCUGUGAAAGAAGGACUGAAGGGGCGGAAGCUGCACAAGGCUGUGGAGAGCUUCACGUGGAACAUCACCAUCCUGAAGGGGCAAGCGGACCUUCUGAAGCACGCCCGUGUCGAAGUCCAGGAGAACCUCAAGCAGAUCCAUUACGCCGCGCUGGCCUGUAACCUGAGCAAGGGCGGCUCAGCCAGCAGCUCGUCCAGUUCCUCCUGCAGACGCAGCCUGGAGGCCAUUCCGGAGAAGGCCGUGGCCGAAGACGAGCUGACCGAUGAGGACAACUGAAGGCUUCCCACGGGACACCAAUCGUCCACAUUCCGGCAACGACAUUCCCUGAUCUGCUCUGUGACUCAAAAACUGUUGUUUAAAAAAAAAAAAAAAAAAAAAAAGCACAAUAUUUCGGAGCUGUGAAUGUACGAGCCGGUGAGUCUACGUCGUGUUCCAUCUGCCAAAAUAUGGAGUGUACAUACGAAGAUCCCUGUUUUCUCAGAGCGUUGUUUUAUUAUUGUUAUUAUUGUACACAUGGAAAUAAGAUUAUUUUAUAAAGAUAAAUGUGGAAGGUUUUAUCCGUCUGUUGCCCCAGCAAGGAACUGUACAACCGACCUAACGUGAACUCGUCGUCCUGCCCUCAAAUGAAGACGUUUUUACCGUUGAAUAAAACACGUGUUUGCUCCACGGACUGAUGCUGGCUGUAGCAUUAUGACCACCUUUCCUCAGGUCUUCUUUCUGUUGUCAGGACUGAACUUUCUGCUCUACCAAGGAAAGUUGAUGUUUAGAUCAUAAUAUGUUUCUUGCAAAAAAGGUUUUGUCUUACUGCUCACUAGUGCCAGAUGCUGCUCUCAGUUUUCUUCAUCACUUUGUUGCUGUUUACAAUCCAGGACGUGAGAGGACAGGGGAGAUACAUUCAGGUGCUGUUGGAGAUUCAUACAGCAGCAUGGUGAUGAUAGCGAUCCAAUUUUGGCUUGAAUGAUGUGUUCAAGUACUUCGCAGAAGAACUGAGCAGUCAGAUGACGUUUCAUCUGAAGUGCACCAAUGAGCUGAACCAGGUGAGGAGUCAUUUCCCACUUAAAAUUCCAACAGUCCUUCCUUGGUCUCUGAUAUUCUGAAGGCUUGUGAGACGAAGCAGCGGUGCACCCAGCAUAAAUAAAAACUUGGAAGUGAUAGAUGUGGAAAACUGGGGGAAAGAAUCGCAGAAUAUAUGACAACAAUUUGUACUUCAGAUGAUAUCUAUCCUCAGGUAUUGGCUCUGGCUGUGGAGCCUCACGACUGAGCCAACGCAGCCACGGCCAAUUCCAGGCAGGUGGUCAUAAUGUUACGGCACACCGGAGCAGCGUCCGUUGUCUUCAUGUUCUGGUUUGGUGCUGGAGAUGUUGUCACAAACUACUUCCAUCUCGGUUGUGCAGUGGAAGCAUCACUCGUAUAAAGACCGGUUUCCUCACAACGUGGCUGUGGUCUCCAUGAUUCCUCUCAUGACUCCCAGCAUCUUCAUCAGUCGACAAGAGUCAACGGUCCUUCACUUGUCCCUCGAGGCUCCGCUCUGAUGGACUGACCUUGUUGAACGCCGCUCUUCUGAUCUUGGCGCCGCGACUGACCCGUAAUUCACCACGCAAGGUCACUUUCACAGAGCGAGGAGGGAAACAGCUCCGGGGAGGACGCCACCUCCAGGUCAGUAUGAAUACUCUGAGUGGAUGAAUGAAUGCGGCUAUGUUCUGACCCAGAAGGUCUUUCUAGUCCUCCAGUUUAUAUAUUCUUCCUCCAGAGUGUCGGCUGUAAAAGUCAUCUUAUAUAAUCAGAGAUGUUUCCGUCCUUCUGAUGGGCUUGGUGGUUGACGCUGCCAACACCACAGCUACAGUCCUGGACGUCUCCCUGUCUGCUCCAGCAAAUUCAAUUUCAAAAAGAAACAAACAAAAAAAAACUUUUCAUCAGUGAGUCGGCAAACAUUUUCUUUUCUAGUACUCUGUCUUAUAUAAAAUAUUGUUUUUAUUCAACACCCUUGUUUAUCUUUUUGUGUUGCAAAAUAUUAAUCGGAAUUAAUGGUUCACUAUACAGUACAGCAUUUUUUCCACUGAAUAAUUUGAUUUAUCUUUUAUUUUCCCCAAUUAUAUGUAUUUAUUUUAAUUUUUAGAAUGUAUUGUGACAAUGAUUUCAUUAAUGAUAUUUUAUUG